rnacentral:rRNA from 3 species
CAUAGCUUUGUUGACUAUAAUUCAAAGUAAUGUCUGCCCCCUGAUAACUUAAAUGGCCGCGGUAUUUUGACCGUGCAAAGGUAGCAUAAUAAUUAGUUUUUUAAUUGGAAACUGGAAUGAAAGGCUUUACGAAGAAAUUUCUGUCUCGUUUGGAUUUUUUUUGAAUUUUACUUUUAAGUGAAAAGGCUUAAAUUUUUGUAAGGGACGAGAAGACCCUAUAGAGUUUUAUAAAUUUAUUUGAUUAUUUAUUUAGAAUUAAAUUUUUAUUCAUUUGUAUUUAUUUAGUUGGGGUGAUUAUUAGAUUUAAAUAACUCUAUUUAUUUUUUACAUUAAUUUAUGGAUAAUUGAUCCUUUAUUAUGGAUGAAAGAAAAAAUUACCUUAGGGAUAACAGCGUAAUCUUUAUGGCGAGUUCUUAUCAAUAUAAGGGGUUGCGACCUCGAUGUUGGAUUAAAGUUUAUUAUUGGUGUAGAAGCUGAUUAUUUAAGUCUGUUCGACUUUUAAAACUUUACAUGAUCUGAGU